CGGGUGAGUAACACGUGGAUAACCUACCUAUAAGACUGGGAUAACUUCGGGAAACCGGAGCUAAUACCGGAUAAUAUUUUGAACCGCAUGGUUCAAAAGUGAAAGACGGUCUUGCUGUCACUUAUAGAUGGAUCCGCGCUGCAUUAGCUAGUUGGUAAGGUAACGGCUUACCAAGGCAACGAUGCAUAGCCGACCUGAGAGGGUGAUCGGCCACACUGGAACUGAGACACGGUCCAGACUCCUACGGGAGGCAGCAGUAGGGAAUCUUCCGCAAUGGGCGAAAGCCUGACGGAGCAACGCCGCGUGAGUGAUGAAGGUCUUCGGAUCGUAAAACUCUGUUAUUAGGGAAGAACAUAUGUGUAAGUAACUGUGCACAUCUUGACGGUACCUAAUCAGAAAGCCACGGCUAACUACGUGCCAGCAGCCGCGGUAAUACGUAGGUGGCAAGCGUUAUCCGGAAUUAUUGGGCGUAAAGCGCGCGUAGGCGGUUUUUUA
rnacentral:rRNA from 1 species